rnacentral:lncRNA from 1 species
GAAGUUCGCUUGGCGUUUAAUGUCAAAACCGAUCUGAAAAAGCUGGAGGACACCAUGAUCAGCAUUAAAGCUGUGCUCUUGGAUGCCGAGCGGCAACAGCACCAAAAUGAAAAGCUGCGCCUCUGUAUGUGGAAGCUCAGAAACAUCUUUUACGAUGCUGAGGACGUUAUUGACGAUUUCAAGUGUGAAGCUCUCCGCAAACAGGACGCCAUCAAUCAUCCCAAUAUCAACAACUUGAAGGUGCGAGUUUUAGGUUCCUUUUGUUUGCCUCUUUCAUUCUCUUUAAAAAUGAGUCAUAAAAUCAAAGACAUCAAUGGGAGACUAGGCGAACUUGCCACUGAGUGGAACAGCUUUGAUCUAAGACAGUGUGACGACAGCAGACAUGUUUUUCGCAGAGAGACCAUCUCUUUUGUGGAUUCUUCUGAUGUUAUUGGUAGCGAUGAGGAUAAAGAGAACAUUAUUAGUAUGUUGAUGAAACCAAGUGAGGAUCGAAAUGUCCCUGUCAUUCCCAUUGUUGGAAUUGGGGGUUUAGGAAAAACCACACUCGCGCAAUUUGUAUACAAUGAUGAUCGAGUUACUAGCCUUUUUCCUUUGAAGAUAUGGAUCUGUGUUUCUGAGGAAUUUGAUCUUUCUAGAUUGCUCAAGCUGAUUAUUCAGUCUAUAAAUAAAGAAGAAAAUUGUGAUGAUUUAACACUUGAAGCAGUGCACGCUUGUUUAAGAGGCCUUUUGAAUGAUAAGAAGUUCUUGCUCGUCCUGGAUGAUGUGUGGAAUGAAAAUCAAGCAAAAUGGGUUGAGUUAAGAAAUUUGUUGAGAUCAACGGAUGGAUUUUCUCCAAGCAAAAUCAUUGUCACUACUCGUAGUUUGAAAGUUGCUUCGAUGAUGAGUUCGAUUCCCUCUUAUAUGUUGGAAGGUUUCUCUCUUGAUGACUGUUUGACCUUGUUUACAAAAUGGGCUUUUAAUGAUGGUGAUGAGAGACAUCAUCCAAAUCUCACUAGAAUCGGAGAGGAGAUUGUGAAAAAAUGCAAAGGAGUUCCUUUGGCACUAAGAACAUUGGGAAGCCUACUGUUUCAGAAAACUGAUGAAUCUGAUUGGAUCUAUAUAAGAGAGAGUGAAAUAUGGACACUUCAGCAACAUGAAAAUGAUAUUUUACCAGAGUUGAAGUUGAGUUACAAGCAUUUGCCAUCUCAUUUGCAACGAUGUCUUGCUUUUUUGUCCUUGUACAAAAAGGAUGAGAUCUAUUAUAGUGACAAAGUCAUCCGUCUCUGGAUGGCAAAUGGACUUCUUGAGUAUCCAAACCAAAAUCAAGAGUGGGAGGAUGUUGGCGAACGAUAUUUGAAUGAAUUACUGUCAAGGUGUCUCAUCCAAAAAGAGAAGGAUUUUUGCUUGUAUUUUACCUUCACAAUGCAUGAUUUGGUACAUGAUCUUGCAUUAGAUGUGUCUCAAAAAGAGUGUAAAAUUGUGAAUUCCGAAACAGAAACGGUUGAUGAAAAUGUUCGACAUUAAUUAUUAUGUGAAGAGAAGUUGGUUGAAGUUCCACGUAUUUUGGAGGAAAUAAAAAAGGUUCAAACCAUAAUCAUCCAAGAUGCUUCAGUGAAAUCAAAGGUUAUUCAUGAAUCACUUAUAAAUCUGUGUUUCUCCAAGUUCAAGUAUCUACGAGCACUAGAGUUAAGGAAUUCACCAUUGACGGCUUUACCGAAUUCUAUUGGUACCUUGAGGCACUUACGAGACCUUGACUUGGCCAGAUGUGAGGGUAUACGUGAACUUCCGAGGUCUUUCUAUAAGCUUCGCAGCUUGCAAUCAUUAAAUUUGGGAGGUACUGGUUUGAAGCAGUUGCCUGACAGCGUGCAAAGGUUGAUUGAGCUUAGACAUCUAGAAAUAACCGUUACAGCUGAGCAUUUGAAAGAAAUACGAGCAGGAUGUUGGACUUCUCUUCAAUACUUGAAAUUGAAUUGGUGUAUCGGAUUAGAAUGUUUACCUGAAGGAAUGCAGUAUCUGAAGUCACUUCGAACACUUGUCCUCUUCCGCUGUGGUAGCCUUGUCUCAUUGCCACGGAGCCUGAAAUUCCUAACCAAGUUAGAACACCUUGAAAUAGUGAGGUGCUUUCGAAUCAAUUUGAAAAUGGAACUAGAAGAGGAAGAAGACAAAGACCUUCAGUUGAGCCUUAAAACUUUCUCACUCUUGGGAUUAGAUGACUUAGGAGAUUUGCCACGAUUGCUUCUUCAAGGAUCUUCUUCCACUUUGCAGCAAUUACGAAUUAAGCAUUGUUUAGAAUUGUCCGUUCUACCAGUGUGGCCACUGAAUCUCACUUCUCUUCGUGAACUUGAGAUUUCUAGUUGCCACUAUUUGUCAGCUCUACCGGAGGGAAUAGACCGCCUCACCAACCUUCGAAAAUUGACAAUUCGCGGAUGUCCGGAGUUGAGCAAAAGAUACAGAAAAAAUAGGGGUGAAGAUUGGCACAAAAUUGCUCACAUCCGAAAGGUUGUUAUUAAGGAUUAAAAUUGAGGUAUGUGCUAAAAUUUUUAAUUUCUCUAUCCGAUUUGAUUUCAUAUUAUCUUUCCCUCUUUUUGAGUAGAGACCUGUUCUUCCCACGGAAGACUUUUACUUUAUUUGCAUUUAGAUUUUACAGUUUAGAGUUGUAAUUUUGAUAAGCGAGCUUUUGCUUUGGAUAUUUCAAAUGGCUUAAUGCUAUGGAUUGUAACUUUUAACUUGUAAUGUUUGUGUGAUGUUGUUGGGAUGGAUGCAUAUAAGUAAGGAAUAGAAACGAAAAAGAGAAAAAAAAAAUUGGGCAUAUAAAUUUUUACGUGAAAAAAUUUCUCGGAUGAAGAGAUCAAAAACAAUUUCACUAAGCAACAAAUCAACAAAGAUUACAAGACUUUAGAACUAUGAAAAUUAAAAAUAAAUAAAUAUAUAUUUUAAAAAUCUAAAAAAGAACAUUGGCAUAUCUAUAUUAAAUACGUAUCGAAAUUAAAUCUGAAUGAAAAACUACAUAAAUCUUAACUUAAAUAAAAUGUUCAAAAGCAUAUCAUAUUUCGAUUAACGAAAUCACCAUUAUAUUAUCAAAUUAAGAUUAAUGCAUUUUUUCGUUAACUUAAAAAUUACAAUAAUACCUGCAUCCAAAUUCUGCAUAUGAUUAUAGAAUGAUUUAUAAAAAUUCUAAGAUAAUAAAGUUGACAUGAUAAUUCUAAGAUAAUUCAAUCGAUUAUAUCUGCAAUUAGAGAUAGAAAUGUACAUACAAGUUCAUUUGUAAUUAUUUUUACAUAGAUCAAUUUAAUUAAAUCGAUUAGUUCUAUAAUGUAAUCAAUUCAAUUAAAUCAAUAAUUAAUCGAUUAGUUCUAUAAUGUAAUCAAUUCAAUUAUUCAAUUCAACUCGUAAUUAAAGGAAAUUACAAUAUUACAAUCAAUAGAGAAAUCUACCACUAAUAAAUACUCCUAAAAUUACUUAUACACCAUCACAAAUACAUUCAUAUAUUUGAUUGAUUCAAUAAUGAUUUUAUGAUUAACCUUAUAUUUCACUCAAUUACGUUUUUAAAUUGUUUAAUACUCUUAAAAUUACUUGUACAUCACUAAUUGUACAUAAAUUAUUUGAUUUACAGUUUAUUUUAAUUUAAUAUAAUAUUUCGAAAAGUUUACAAAAUAAUAAAUGAUAAAUAAUAUUAAACUUGGAAUGCAAAGUGAUAAUACGUCCAAUUUACAUGUUUAUGAUGUUUAAUUUUGAUAAAAUUCUUGAACGAGAUGCUACUAAUUUUAGACUUGUUAUUUGAUUUUUUAUUAGGUGCAAAAGUAAACCCGGGAAGUAAAAAAAAAGUCGAAAAUGUGGGCUAUCGUAAAAUUUUUGAGCCAAAGAACGAGUUGAUGGAUAAUGAUCUAUUUUGAGAACUUUUAUUUUUAGAUUUAUUUGUAAAAUAAAUACUUUUAAUUUCCAUUAGGAUAUUAUUUUAUUUUUCUAGGAUUUUAUCUUUAAGAUAAUUUAUUUAUUUUUUAUUGUUUUAUCUUUUGUCUUAUUUUUAGAUAAGUAGAAUUAGGGUUUAUUUUUCUAGUAUAGAAGGGAGGAUGGAAUGGGGAAUUCUCAAUUCUGUUUUAACUCUUUUCUUUACUUGCGUAUUAUUGCGCCAUUUACCCUUUUGUUUCUUUCUUAUAUUUUCUUUACUUUAUUGCGAGUAACUAAAUUUUCCAUUUAGCUUUAUGUUGAUAAACAAUCUUACAGAUAGCUGUGAGAUCUGAAUCCGCUCUUUAAAACCUUUAUUCCGGUAUUUGUUGUUUUUUUGGUUUAGGAGAUAGGCUCCGUCAUCUCACAGAGUUGUAUUGACACUAAGUCAAAAAUAAAAUAUUAAUACUAAUACUAAAAAUGAAAGUAACAAAUUGAUAAUAUUAGGUGUAAUGGUAAUACACAUUAUACUUCUAACAGAAUUUUAAUUUUAAUCUUAAAAAUAAUAUUAUUAGGACUAAUCAAGGAUCUUGAAGGAUUAGUAUUUUUGGACUGUUAAAUAGAUUAAUUUAGUAAAAAAAAUAAUGAAGAGUAACCAUAAGGCAAAAUCUUAUUCUUACUAUGAACUUUAUAAGCCAGAUUUGUUUAUUUUUCUAAUAAUUUUGCUGUUUAUAUUUAAAAUUUAUGACUGCUAUUAAAGUGAGUUCAUGUUGCCUCUCUAUAAAAUUACACUUCCCCUAUAAUAUAUAUAUAUAAGAUUUGAUAAUUUCUAUUUAUUUAGAUUUGAAAAUGUUGAUUGAGUCAUUGAUCCUGUUUAUUUUCGAUUAAUGCUUAAUGUUACUUAUGUGGAAUUAUGAUGUACAUUUAUAUUUCCAUGGGACUACUCUUAAUUGGGCCAUGGUGGCUUGUUGGAACAAUAUUUUCAAAACCAAUAAAAUAUAGAGAGGUUGAAUGUGUAAAAAUUAAAGUAUAAAAAAUAGAUUAAAAUUUUUGAAAGAAUAUUUAUUUCUUUCCUAUAAGAUUUCAAGGAUUUUAUUUAGCAGGUUAAGUCACAGGUACGUCAAGUAAAGCCAAUCAAAAUGCCAGAUAUUUGGUGGAAACUUCGAUUUGUUCAAAAAUUUAUUAUUCCCCAGAACAAGAAGGUUUGUUCUUUUUUUUUUUUUUUCAGAUUUUGGGCUACAACAAGUUCUUUGUUUGAUUUCUUACCACAAAAAAAAAGAAGAAAAAGAGAAAAAAAAAAAAAGAAGGGUCUUUCUUGAAUGCUGUACUGCCUUCUUCGCUCUUGAAAUUCAAUUAUGGCGGAAACGUUUCUGUUCGAUAUUGCAGAAAGGGUUCUCGCCAAUAUUGUCCAUUUCUCUGUAGACGAAGUUCGCUUGGCGUUUAAUGUCAAAACCGAUCUGGAAAAGCUGGAGGACACCAUGAUCAGCAUUAAAGCUGUGCUUUUGGAUGCCGAGAACCAAAAUGAAAAGCUGCGCCUCUGUAUGUGGAAGCUCAGAGACAUCUUUUACGAUGCUGAGGACGUUAUUGACGAUUUCAAGUGUGAAGCUCUCCGCAAACAGGACGCCUUCAAUCAUCCCAACAUCAACAACUUAAAGGUGCGAGUUUUAGGUUCCUGUUGUUUGCCUCUUUCAUUCUCUUUAAAAAUGAGUCAUAAAAUCAAAGAC